rnacentral:rRNA from 1 species
GGGGAAUAUUGGACAAUGGGCGGAAGCCUGAUCCAGCAACGCCGCGUGAGGGAUGACGGCCUUCGGGUUGUAAACCUCUUUCAGUACCGACGAAGCGAAAGUGACGGUAGGUACAGAAGAAGGACCGGCCAACUACGUGCCAGCAGCCGCGGUAAUACGUAGGGUCCGAGCGUUGUCCGGAAUUAUUGGGCGUAAAGGGCUCGUAGGCGGUUUGUCGCGUCGGGAGUGAAAACAGCGGGCUUAACUCGUUGCUUGCUUUCGAUACGGGCAGACUAGAGGUAUGCAGGGGAGAAUGGAAUUCCUGGUGUAGCGGUGAAAUGCGCAGAUAUCAGGAGGAACACCGGUGGCGAAGGCGGUUCUCUGGGCAUUACCUGACGCUGAGGAGCGAAAGUGUGGGGAGCGAACA